rnacentral:rRNA from 1 species
CAUGAAGCUGGAAUCGCUAGUAAUCGCGGAUCAGAAUGCCGCGGUGAAUACGUUCCCGGGUCUUGUACACACCGCCCGUCACACCAUGAGAGUUGGCAACACCCGAAGUCAGUAGCCUAACCGAAAGGAGGGCGCUGCCGAAGGUGGGGUCGAUGAUUGGGGUGAAGUCGUAACAAGGUAAC